rnacentral:rRNA from 1 species
UACGUAGGGGGCGAGCGUUGUCCGGAAUUAUUGGGCGUAAAGAGCGUGUAGGCGGCCCGAUUAGUCCGCUGUGAAAGUCCAGGGCUCAACCCUGGAAUGCCGGUGGAUACUGUCGGGCUAGAGUCCGGAAGGGGCGAGUGGAAUUCCUGGUGUAGCGGUGAAAUGCGCAGAUAUCAGGAGGAACACCAAUGGCGAAGGCAGCUCGCUGGGACGUGACUGACGCUGAGACGCGAAAGCGUGGGGAGCAAACAGG